CCCUUAGAUGUUCUGGGCAGCACGCGCGCUACAAUGGUCUUCGCAAACAGAUGCAUUCUCGAAGGAGAAUGCCAAUCUUGGAAUCUAUGCCUUGGUCGGGACAGUUGCUUGCAAUUUUUCGACUCGAACCAGGAAUUCCUUGUAAUCGUGAUUCAUCACAUCACGAUGAAUACGUCCCUGCCCUUUGUACACACCGCCCGUCGCUCCUACCGAUCGAAGAGUUAGGUGAAUUGUUUUGAUCGAUAAGAUUUGACUAUGGUCAACUCUCGUUGUGAAAUUCUGUGAAUCUGACGGUUUAGAGGAAGGAAAAGUCGUAACA
rnacentral:rRNA from 1 species